rnacentral:rRNA from 1 species
UCAUUAGAACAACUUCCAUUGAGUCUCUGCACCUAUCCUUUUCCUUUGUAUUCUCGUUCGAGAACCCCUUGUUUUCUCAAAACAAUGAUUUGGCCUUUUUUAAUUCUAGGGUUUCUCUGGAUUUGGAAGUUACCACUUAGCAGCUUUCCAUACCAAGGGUCAAUACAAUCAAGUUCGUAG